rnacentral:rRNA from 1 species
AUUGAACGCUAGCGGGAUGCCUUACACAUGCAAGUCGAACGGAGUGGCGCACGGGGGAGUAAUGUAUCGGGACGUGCCCCGUUGCGGGGGAUAACUACGCGAAAGCGUAGCUAAUACCGCAUACUAUUGGAGCGGCCGAUUUCGGAGUAGCUAGUUGGUGGGGUAACGGCUCACCAAGGAGACGAUCCGUAGCAGGUUUGAGAGGACGACCAGCCACACGGGUACUGAGACACGGCGCCGCCUCCUACGUGAGGCAGCGGUGGGGAAUUUUGGACAAUGGGCGAAAACCUGUUCCAGCCAUCCGGCGUGUGCGAUGAAGGCCUUCGGGUUGUAGAGCAUGUUUGGCAGGAAAGCGGUACCUGAAGAAUAAGCACCGGCUAACUACGUGCCAGCAGCCGCGGUAAUAC